UACCCAUUCGUUCUCUCCCUACCCUCCAGAGCAGGUUACCCACCAGGCCGCCACCACCACCACUACCGUCGCCCUUCCAUCCGCUGAUGAUGAACACUGAUUGGCAUCGCCCGUCACUACCGAUCGUCUUCCAUCUGCUGCUGCUGAUCAUCGUUGAUUAAAGCGGCCGGCUGAUUCGAAACCAGGUUAGGUUAUGAACAGAUUACUGAAGAUUGUUUUGAGGGUUUACAAGUUUAAGGAGUGUCAACCUUCCUACCUUCCAUUGGAACUAUUAAUGUAACAUAAGCAACCUUCUGGAUUCAAGGAUAACAAAGGAGAUGACUUUCAAAUUGAUGGUAAAAGAGAUACCAUUUUGCUUUUACAAUUGGCUUCAAUUUUAAGAUAUUUUUUAAUUUUUAAUUUGUAACACACGCCUUUGUAAAUAAAAUUAUUUUUGCAAUAUACGUCUCCCCCUACUGUAUCACGU
rnacentral:lncRNA from 1 species